GCCUGGGUGGCUCAGUCGGUUAAGCGUCUGACUUCAGCUCAGGUCACGAUCUCACGGUCCGUGAGUUCGAGCCCCGCAUCGGGCU
rnacentral:tRNA from 1 species